CAGAAUCAUAAGCAAAGAGAUACAAGUUCAAGUUGCAGACUCAUAGUGAGUCUGAGAGUCUAGGGUCCCAAAGCGGAGCCUUAACUCGAACACAAAGAAUCAAAAUCAUCAAAGGGAACCCCCAAAUACUAGGGUUUCAAAAUUUAAUCAAACAUGGGAGUGAGAAAGCAAGCCCUUUGCUUCAGAUUCUCAACAAAUCAGAUAUGAUAGCAUGUUUGAACGAAAAGGGAGGAAAAAUCAUAAAGAACAUAUUUGAGAAACUUGAAACCCAAACGGGUUUAGAAGAAAGAGUAAAAAAUACAAAUGUGAACACAAGUUGACGAAGCAUGUAAGAACAUAACAGAGUCCAGUAAAUAAAAAUAAAAUAACUUAAUGGUAAAGACACAUAGUAAAAGAGCAAAGAUUAACAGGAGUAACAUGCAUGGUAGAAAAAGAAAAGGCAGAAGACAAUACAUGUGUAAUAAAAGAAAUCACACGAGCAGGGUGUGGAAAAACACACAUAGAGCAAAGCAAGAGAAGAAUCAGAAAGACUUUUCCCAAAAUCCUUUCAGAAACCCUAAAGUCGAAGAGAAGUAAUUUUUGAAAGAAAAUCGGGGAAAACAUUUAAGAAACUCAGGUAGAGCAUAGACAUACACCAGAUCUAAAAACUAAUUAAAGAGAACCUUGAGUAACUAGAAUUUUGGAGAAACCAUAGAGCGAGAAAGGCCUAGGAAAGUCCAAUCCUGAGUUGGAUAAAGUCAGAGAUAGGCUCUUAAUGUUUGGAUAUGCCGGAGCAAGGCCGAAGAUGGACGAAAACCUCAAAUCGGUGAAGGUAUGAGUGAAGACCUUUGAAGUCUGGCCUCAAACCUUCGAGCAGCAGGCAUCUAGGAGCAGUAGGAGGUGAGUAUAGGGUUUCCAUGGCCAGAGAAGCCAUGGAUUUCGGCGAGUUUCGGGGUGAAGAUGACGAGAAACUGCUAUGGUUAGGGGAAGGGUAGAGAGAGUCUAAGAGAUGAGAGGAUCCAAAGGC
rnacentral:lncRNA from 1 species